AAGAACUAUUGAGGACAGAGAUACAGUGAGAAAGAGAGAGAAGACAGAGAGAGAAGCGGGGUGUACUAGUGCUCCACUCCACCUAUGGCUUUCUAGCAAUCUGGAUCGUUGAUUUCCACGGCUUCGAAUAAUCUGACGGCUAGGGAUACUGGGAACGUUCGCUAUCAGAUACAGAUCCGAUGGAUGAGAUGGGUUCCGACUUUCGAGUAAUCUGAAUCGUUGGGUUGGGUCCCACUCAAAAAGCGCGCAAUUAGGGAUUAAAAACCGGAUCAGACCGUUCACAGUUCGCGCUAAUUAUCCGGUUUGAUGAAUCUUAUAAAUUGGGCACAUUUUUUUUAUUUUUUUUUAAAACCUAAAUCCGAUAUCUUAUCUGAAUAUUAAUCCGACGAGAAUUUCACCAGCGACGAUCAUCUUCUCCGGCGAACUUGUUCUCCUCCCAAACCUCGCUUUCAUGGCGUUGGUGUAGUGAGAAUUGACUGUAGUUGUUCGUGGCUUCAGAAGCUGUGUUAUAACCAGUGAAAACCCUAAUUUGUUCAUCAGCCAAAGUUAGGAGGCGAGGCUUGAGAGUGUCAAUGACACAUGCUUGCUAUCUCACAGCUUUGAAGGCUUUAAAUUUUGGGGCAGCAGGAACUCGACGGUCAUUAUUUAAUUUGAAAUUUCCAUUCAAGUCUUCAAUAAGGCAAAUACACAUGGAAAAUAAUCACAAAAGUGAUUCAAGAGGUGCUUUAAUUGUACUAGAAGGGUUAGAUCGAAGUGGGAAGACUUUACAAUCAAGAAAGCUGAUUUCUUACUUGGAGGGACUCAGCUAUUCAGUUGAAUCAUGGCGUUUUCCUGAUAGAAAUACUGGUGUUGGGCAAAUGAUUUCCUCUUAUCUUGCUAACAAGUCAGAGUUGGAUGAUCACGCAAUCCAUCUACUCUUUAGUGCAAAUCGUUGGGAAAAGAGAUCCUUGAUGGAGAAUAAACUGAGAAGUGGAACCACUCUAAUUGUAGAUCGCUAUUCAUUUUCUGGGGUGGCUUUUUCAUCUGCCAAAGGACUUGAUAUUGAAUGGUGUAAGGCACCAGAGAUGGGGUUGCUCGCUCCAGAUUUGGUAUUAUAUCUUGACAUACCACCAGAGGUAAUUUGUUUUAUUAUCGAGUUUGUUGUUGAAGUUAAGGUACCAUGACAUCAAAGAUCACAACCAUGUAUUGAACCUUGCAGAUUGAGUAGUUUUCCACUCUCUUUCUCAACAAGUCCUGCUUGUCUGAUGGCUAAUUUAGUCCUUGAUGAUAAAUUUAACUUCCUUUGUCCUUGGUUGAUGUUGUGUAAGGCACUUUAAUUGGCUACAUAGUUAGGGGACUCUUGGUCCAGUAUGUGAUGAUCCUUGGUCAAUUUAUCACUCCUUCCUCAUUCCAUAUGAAAGCGGCUGAAAAAGGAGGCUAUGGAGGGGAGAGAUACGAGCAGCUUGAGUUUCAAAGAAAAGUUGCCCGCUCAUAUCAGAUACUCCAUGAUGCCUCAUGGAAGACCAUAGAUGCCUGCCUCCCCAUUGAAGAUGUUGAGC